GACGAACGCUGGCGGCGUGCUUAACACAUGCAAGUCGAACGGAAAGGCCCAAGCUUGCUGGAGUACUCGAGUGGCGAACGGGUGAGUAACACGUGGGUAAUCUGCCCUGCACUCCGGGAUAAGCCUGGGAAACUGGGUCUAAUACCGGAUAUGACCUUUCUCUUUAUGGGGUUUGGUGGAAAGUUUUUCGGUGUAGGAUGAGCCCGCGGCCUAUCAGCUUGUUGGUGGGGUGAUGGCCUACCAAGGCGACGACGGGUAGCCGGCCUGAGAGGGUGAUCGGCCACAUUGGGACUGAGAUACGGCCCAGACUCCUACGGGAGAGAGCAGUGGAGAAUAUUGCACAAUGGGCGGAAGCCUGAUGCAGCGGCGCCGCGUGAGGGAUGACGGCCUUCGGGUUGUAAACCUCUUUCAGCAGGGACGGAGCGUAAGUGACGGUACCUGCAGAAGAAGCACCGGCUAACUACGUG
rnacentral:rRNA from 1 species